UCUGGUCCCAGGUCCCUGGUUGUGGUCCUGGUCUUGGUCUGAUCCUCACAGAGCGUCAGGUUUCAAUUUGACUGUGUUGUUAAAUUCAGGAGUUUCAUCAGAAGUUUGUUCAUUUCCUCAGUGAAACGUCAGGAAACAGACUGAACCUGUGACGAGAGCUUUAAUCUGUCUGCAGCUUUAAUCUGUCUGCAGAUUUAAUCUGUCUACAGUUUAAUCUGUCUACAGUUUAAUCUGACUACAGUUUAAUCUGUCUACAACUUUAAUCUACAUCUUUAAUCUGACUACAGUUUAAUCUGUCUACAGGUUUAAUCUGUCUAUAACUUUAAUCUACAUCUUUAAUCUGACUACAGUUUAAUCUGUCUGCAGCUUUAAUCUGACUACAGUUUAAUCUGUCUACAACUUUAAUCUACAUCUUUAAUCUGCCUACAGUUUAAUCUGUCUACAGCUUUAAUCUGACUACAGGUUUAAUCUGUCUACAGGUUUAAUCUGUCUACAACUUUAAUCUACAUCUUUAAUCUGCCUACAGUUUAAUCUGUCUACAGUUUAAUCUGUCUACAGGUUUAAUCUGUCUACAACUUUAAUCUACAUCUUUAAUCUGACUACAGUUUAAUCUGUCUGCAGCUUUAAUCUGACUACAGUUUAAUCUGUCUACAGGAGCAGGAAAAUAAAAAUAAGAUGACAGAGAUGAAUUCAGCUCCUGUCAACAGGACAGUGUUGAAAUCAUUAGUUUAAAACUGAAUUUCAUUUGUUCUUCACGUGAUCAGACUGAUGGCUUGUUUUUAUUGAUCAGUGACUGAAACUUUGUGUU